GUUGAUGCUCCGAAUACCAAAAGAUAAUAUGAGAUCGUUAGCUUUGAUAUUCCGUGUGUAAAAGACGUGGGGCGUUUAGUUGAUUUCUAUGUAACGGUAAAAUAGCCAAGUUCAAAAGAUUGGAGCAGGCACUGAAUUGAAUCGGUAGGAGCUAUAUAUGCGCUUUUAGGUGAAGAGUCUGGGAGAAUUGCAGUCUUUUGGUUAUAUUGGUUCUUUGGGAGUCUUUGUUUUAGUUGGUGUCUAUUAAUCCAUCGGACCGAACCUGGCCUGGCAUGUUUCAACCUGCACCAAGAUUACCUAUUUUGACCCGCUACCCAAUCUGUUCCGCCACUUCGUCUAUUUUAACAAAUAUUAUUAUGGGCCGGACUGCUGACUACAAUCUGAAGAGGCAAAUCAAAUUGACCAGUUUGGCCGGUUUGGCGAUUAAAUCCUAAAAGGUUUAUUCAUGUGGCAGUUUAGUCCAGGAGUUAGAGAUAUAUGCUUGACUUGCAUAAGGAUCUUGAAAAGAAGAGGAAAGAAAAACCCAAGUGGUGUAUGAAAGAAAGAAGCAGCUUAGCAAACUUAGAGCUAAGGCCGAUAAAGCUUCCCUCAGCUUGAAAUCCUUGCAACCGUAACCUGCCAAAGCUAAGGUAUAUGUUUCAUAGCUUCCUUCAAUAGAAGUUCAGAAGACUUCAAGGUUCAAAGUGAGAAGUAAGCAAGACAAGAGUAAAGUUUGAUAAUGAUGAUGAUAGUGUUAGCUGUUUGCUGCAGUGUCUUGUUCAUGUGAACAAGUUGGAUUGAAGAAGAGACAUUGUUGUAUUUUGAUGGGAGAAAUGAAUAUGUAAAACUGUUUUUAUUACCGAAUUUCCUUGUGAUGGUAUAGUGUUUAAAAUUUGAGGGAAUAUCAAGU
rnacentral:lncRNA from 1 species